AACGAACGCUGGCGGCAUGCCUAACACAUGCAAGUCGAACGAGACCUUCGGGUCUAGUGGCGCACGGGUGCGUAACGCGUGGGAACCUGCCCUUUGGUUCGGAAUAACCCCCCGAAAGGGGUGCUAAUACCGGAUAAUGUCUUCGGACCAAAGAUUUAUCGCCUUUGGAUGGGCCCGCGUUGGAUUAGCUAGUUGGUAGGGUAAAAGCCUACCAAGGCGACGAUCCAUAGCUGGUCUGAGAGGAUGAUCAGCCACACUGGGACUGAGACACGGCCCAGACUCCUACGGGAGGCAGCAGUGGGGAAUAUUGGACAAUGGGCGAAAGCCUGAUCCAGCAAUGCCGCGUGAGUGAUGAAGGCCUUAGGGUUGUAAAGCUCUUUUACCCGGGAUGAUAAUGACAGUACCGGGAGAAUAAGCUCCGGCUAACUCCGUG
rnacentral:rRNA from 1 species